GAUGAACGCUGGCGGCGUGCCUAAUACAUGCAAGUCGAGCGAACGGACGAGAAGCUUGCUCCUCUGACGUUAGCGGCGGACGGGUGAGUAACACGUGGAUAACCUACCUAUAAGACUGGGAUAACUUCGGGAAACCGGAGCUAAUACCGGAUAAUAUUUUGAACCGCAUGGUUCAAUAGUGAAAGACGGUUUUGCUGUCACUUAUAGAUGGAUCCGCGCCGCAUUAGCUAGUUGGUAAGGUAACGGCUUACCAAGGCAACGAUGCGUAGCCGACCUGAGAGGGUGAUCGGCCACACUGGAACUGAGACACGGUCCAGACUCCUACGGGAGGCAGCAGUAGGGAAUCUUCCGCAAAGGGCGAAAGCCUGACGGAGCAACGCCGCGUGAGUGAUGAAGGUCUUCGGAUCGUAAAACUCUGUUAUUAGGGAAGAACAUAUGUGUAAGUAACUGUGCACGUCUUGACGGUACCUAAUCAGAAAGCCACGGCUAACUACGUG
rnacentral:rRNA from 1 species